rnacentral:rRNA from 1 species
CAGUAGCCGCGGUAAUACGUAGGGUCCGAGCGUUGUCCGGAAUUAUUGGGCGUAAAGGGCUCGUAGGCGGUUUGUCGCGUCGGGAGUGAAAACCAGCAGCUUAACUGCUGGCCUGCUUUCGAUACGGGCAGACUUGAGGCAUUCAGGGGAGAACGGAAUUCCUGGUGUAGCGGUGAAAUGCGCAGAUAUCAGGAGGAACACCGGUGGCGAAGGCGGUUCUCUGGGAAUGUUCUGACGCUGAGGAGCGAAAGUGUGGGGAGCGAACAGGAUUAGAUACCCCUGUAGUCCCUGUCUCUUAUAA